GCAGAUUAAGGAACAAAUGGUUAUAUUUGUUACCUUGUGCCCUUAAAUUCGUAACGUUUAUGCUAUGCUGUUUUUCAAAUGAACUCUCUUUUAUUUACUGAAAUUAGGUACAUAGUUCUAAAACAGUCAGCACUAAUAAAAACUAUUUUGCAUUUUCUUACAAGUGUCAAAACAUUUAAGAUUCUGUAUUUCCUCGUUUUUGCUCACACAUAUCACCAUGUCCUCAUAUCUCUACAUAACAACAGAAUUAAUGAACAUCUCCAAACAACCCAAAGAGAAUUCUAUCAUACCUAAACACACGAGAUAUAUAGAUAUGGAGACUGUAGUGGUGAUUGUGGGAGCUGGACCAGCUGGUUUAGCAACAUCUGUUUGUCUAAACCAACACUCAAUCCCAAACGUGAUCCUCGAGAAAGAAUACAUAUAUGCAUCACUUGGGAAGAAAUGAUCUUACGAUCAUCUCAAACUACACUUAACUAAAAAAAUUUGCGAGCUUCCUUUCAUGAUGCACGGUCCCAAUUUUCCAAUCUUCAUGCCCAAAGAACUUUUCAUCAACUAGCUUUACACCUACAAAGUGACGUACAUGUCUAGCAUUUUACGGGCUCAAGAUAAACAUAUUAAUAUUUUAUUACAAACGUUUUUAUGAAAAUUUAAUUAAUAUACCAAUAAAAAUACAUAAAACAAUUUUAUAUGCACUAGUUUUAGCGAAGAGAUAAAAUUAUAUUAGUAAGAAAAUUAUCAUAAAAUUAUAUAGGUGAUUGCGAAAAUCUUCACCAUUUAUAUAUGUUAACUGAAAUAUAUACAGUUUACAUGUCAAGUUAUAAGUGAUAAAGUAAUAUAAAAAUGUAAAAACAAAAUAUUAACCAAUAAAAUAUUUGCUAAAAUUUGGACAAAAGAAAAGAAAAUAUUAGUAAAAAUUCAUCAAAUGUGUAGCCAUACAUCCAUUUUCGUUUCUUUUCUCGUGCGACCUAACUCUCACACUUGUUUGUUUCUUUUAUUUAACAUUAAAGCAACUAAACUUUUUUGAUGGUUUCAAUUUUCAAACGGAUAAGUUGUAGAAGAAGAAUCUAUUUCGACUUUCGUAUAUCCGAACAUUAGGAAACGUUUUUCAUCACUACCAAUUUGAACUUGCGUGGGCAUACGAAAAAAAUCAUUUUUGGAUACAUGCAAAGUAAAUAGAUUCCAUUAGUGCAUGGACACGUUCAUCUAACGUAUAUAGUAAAUCAAUAUGUGUCAUUUCUUUCUUAAUCAAUAUGUGUAAUGACUUCAUAAAUGAUGCAACAUUUUGAAUAUAUAUUUUAUAAUUUUCCCAAAAUAUUAACAGAACAGCGAUAAGACUAAAUAACUCGUAUCACUCUAUGAGUGUUCAUUUCAUUAUAGCGUCUACUCUUUUUUUUUUGAAACUUAUAAUGGGUCUUGUUUUUAAAAUAACUUAUAUAGAUAGAAGAAAUAAUCUUAAAGAAUAUUAAAUAUAAUUUUGGAAAAUGACCAAAUACAAAGAAUAUCAGUCUAUUUCUAUUGAAAAUUGAAAAAUGUCACAAGGUAAAAACCUUGCAUUUAAAAGGAGGAUGUAGUAGUUUUACAAUAAAUAUGACAUUAAUAUUGUCUUCUAUUGCGAAUUUAGAUAGUCAAGUUAAUUUGUAACUAUUUUAAACAUAUGCCUUUGUUUUUAAGUAGUUCACUGUAAAUAUAAAAUAAGGGUGUCAGUAAAUUUUAAGAAAAUUUGGUCAAUUUUGUUUAAAAAGUUAUGUUUUAGAACUUUAGUAGUCUUCCUCUUACAUACUUGAUUUGUAUUUCAAAAUUAAAUAAAGAUUCUCAAAAUAAUAAAUGUUUUCAUAUUCUGUAUUGGCUAGUCUUAUCAAAUAUAUACAAAACAAGUAUUAAUAUCUAAGCAAGUAUAGUAGUUAAUAUCAUAGUUAAAAAUGUUAAAAUAAAUUAACAUAGUCAAAACAAAAAUAUAUUAUCAUACAUCCUCUCUGCCAACUCACCAUUUAAAUUGUAAGGCACGCAGAUUAAGGAACAUAUGGUUAUAUUUGUUACCUUAUGCUAUUAAAAUAUUUGCUAAAAUAUGAAGAAAAUAUUAGUUAAAAUUCAUCAAAUGUCUAGCCAUACAUCCAUUUUCAUUUCUCUUCUCGUGCAACCUAACUCUCACACUUGUUUGUUUCUUUUAUUUAACAUUAAAGCAACUAAAAUUUUUGAUGGUUUCAAUUUUCAAACGGAUAAGUUGUAGAAGAAGAAUCUGUUUCGACUUUCGUAUAUCCGAACAUUAGGAAACGUUUUUCAUCACUACCAAUCUGAACUUCGUGGGCAUACGAAAAAACAAUUUUUUGGAUACAUGCAAAGUAAAUAGAUUCUAGUAGUGCAUGGACACGUUCAUCUAAUGUUUAUAGUAAAUCAAUAUGUGUCAUUUCUUUGCUAUGUUACAUGGAAACGGAAGCAGGUGCGUGGAAGCGGAAGCGUAUGGAAACGUAGAAGCGAUUUUUUUAAAAAAAUUAGGAAGCGGAUACGUGUUGGAAGCGUAUCUAUAUAUAUACAUAUAUAAGAAGUUUUUUAAAAUAUAGAACUAAAAGUUAUAUUAUUUAAAUUUAAAAUAAAGCAUUUAUUCAUUUAUAAUAAUUUUGAAAUGAUUUUAUAUUAAGACUAUGAAAAUACACAUAAAUUAAAUUUAAAAGAAAUUAUUAUAUUAAUUAUUUUUAAUACUUUAGAAUUAAUUGACAUAAUAUAUUUGAAUAUAUGAUUUAUCUUUAAUAAAAACCUCAAUGCAUAAAGAUAAUUUAUAGUAUUAAUUUUAAUAUUUGUAUAUUUCUAUUCUCUCUACUAAAUACUACUACCUCCGUUCCCGAAAGUAAGAUGUUUUAGAUUUUUUUCUUGUUCCACAAAGAUAGAUUUUCUAUAUUAUUAAGGUACUUUUUAAUACUUUUGAGGAACAUUUAUUGAGAAUAUUUGAAUUGAUUAAAUUUCAUUGGUGGAAAGUUAUUGGAAAGUGUUUUCCCAAAAUAUUAACAGAACAGCGAUAAGACUAAAUAACACGUAUCACUCUAUGACUGAUCAUUUCAAUAUAAUGUCUGCUCUUUUUUUUGAAACUUAUAAUGGGUCUUGUUUUUAAAAUAACUUAUAUAGAUAGAAGAAAUAAUCUUAAAGAAUAUUAAAUAUAAUUUUGGAAAAUGGCCAAAUACAAAGAAUAUCAGUCUAUUUCUAUUGAAAAUUGAAAAAUGUCACAAGGUAAAAACCUUGCAUUUACAAGAUGGAUGUAGUAGUUUUACAAUAAAUAUGACAAUAAUAUUGUCUUUUAUUGCGAAUUUAGAUAGUCAAGUUAAUUUGUAACUAUUUUAAACAUAUGCCUUUGUUUUUAAGUAGUUCACUGUAAAUAUAAAAUAAUGGGUGUCAGUAAAAUUUUAAGAAAAUUUGGUCAAUUUUGUUUAAAAAGUUAUGUUUUAGAACUUUAGUAGUCAUCCACUUACAUACUUGAUUUGUAUUUCAAAAUUAAAUAAAGAAUCUCAAAAUAAUAAAUGUUUUCAUAUUCUGUAUUGGCUAGUCUUAUCAAAUAUAUAUAAAACAAGUAUUAAUAUCUAAGCAAGUAUAGUAGUUAAUAUCAUAGUCAAAAAUGUUAAAAUUAAUUAACAUAGUUAAAACAAAAAUAUAUUAUCAUACAUCCUCACUGCCAACUCACCGUUUAAGUUGUAAGACACGCAGAUUAAGGAACAUAUGGUUAUAUUUGUUACCUUAUGCUCUUAAAUUCGUAACGUUUAUUCUAGGCUGUUUUCCAACUGAACUUUCUUUUAUUUACAGAAAUUUGGUACAUAGUUCCAAAACAGUCAGCACUAAUAAAAACAAGUUUGCAUUUUCUUACAAGUGUCAAAAAUUUUAAGAUUCUGUAUUUCCUCGUUUUUGCUCACACAUAUCACCAUGUCCUCAUAUCUCUAUAUAACAACAGAAUCAAUGAACAUCUCCGAACAACCCAAAGAGAAAAUCUAUCAUACCUAAACACACGAGAUAUAUAGAUAUGGAGACUGUAGUGGUGAUUGUGGGAGCUGGACCAGCUGGUUUAGCAACAUCUGUUUGUCUAAACCAACACUUAAUCCCAAACGUGAUCCUCGAGAAAGAAGACAUAUAUGCAUCACUUGGGAAGAAAUGAGCUUAUGAUCAUCUUAAACUUCACUUAGCUUAAAACAUUUGUGAGCUUCCUUUCAUGAUGCAAGGUCCCAAUGUUCCAAUCUUCAUGCCCAAAGAACUUUUCAUCAACUAGAUUUACACCUACAAAGUGACAUACGUGUCUAGCAUUUUACGGGCUCAAGAUAAACAUAUUAAUAUUUUACUACAAACUUUUUAUGAAAAUCUAAUUAAUAUACCAAUAAAAAUACAUAAAACGAUUUUAUAUGCACUAGUUUUAGCGAAGAGAUAAAAUUAUAUUAGUAAGAAAAUUAUCAUAAAAUUAUAUAGGUGACUGCGAACAUCUUCAUCAUUUAUAUAUGUUAACUGAAAUAUAUACAGUUUACAUGUCAAGUUAUAAGUUAUAAACUAAUAUAAAAAUGUAAAAAGAAAAUAUUAACCAAUAAAAUAUUUGCUAAAAUAUGGACAAAAGAAAAGAAAAUAUUAGUUAAAAUUCAUCAAAUGUCUAGCCAUACAUCCAUUUUCAUUUCUCUUCUCGUGCAACCUAACUCUCACACUUGUUUGUUUCUUUUAUUUAACAUUAAAGCAACUAAAAUUUUUGAUGGUUUCAAUUUUCAAACGGAUAAGUUGUAGAAGAAGAAUCUGUUUCGACUUUCGUAUAUCCGAACAUUAGGAAACGUUUUUCAUCACUACCAAUCUGAACUUCGUGGGCAUAAGAAAAAAACAAUUUUUUGUAUACAUGCAAAGUAAAUAGAUUCCAGUAGUGCAUGGACACGUUCAUCUAACGUUUAUAGUAAAUCAAUAUCUGUCAUUUCUUUGUUAAAAAAUAUGUGUAAUGACUUCAUAAAUGAGUCAGUUCAUUUUGAAUAUAUAUUUUAUUACUUUCCCAAAAUAUUAACAGAACAUCUAUAAGACUAAAUAACACGUAUCACUCUAUGAGUGUUCAUUUCAAUAUAGCGUCUACUCUUUUUUUUUUUUAAAUCUUAUAAUGGUUCUUGUUUUUAAGAUAACUUAUAUAGAUAGAAGAAAUAAUCUUAAAGAAUAUUAAAUAUAAUUUUGGAAAAUGGCCAAAUACAAAGAAUAUCAGUCUAUUUCUAUUGAAAAUUGAAAAAUGUCACAAGGUAAAAACCUUGCAUUUACAAGAUGGAUGUAGUAGUUUUACAAUAAAUAUGACAAUAAUAUUGUCUUUUAUUGCGAAUUUAGAUAGUCAAGUUAAUUUGUAACUAUUUUAAACAUAUGCCUUUGUUUUUAAGUAGUUCACUGUAAAUAUAAAAUAAUGGGUGUCAGUAAAAUUUUAAGAAAAUUUGGUCAAUUUUGUUUAAAAAAUUAUUUUUUAGAAUUUAGAAGUCAUCCACUUACAUACUUGAUUUGUAUUUCAAAAUUAAAUAAAGAAUCUCAAAAUAAUAAAUGUUUUCAUAUUCUGUAUUGGCUAGUCUUAUCAAAUAUAUAUAAAACAAGUAUUAAUAUCCAAGCAAGUAUAGUAGUUAAUAUCAUAGUCAAAAAUGUUAAAAUAAAUUAACAUAGUCAAAACAAAAAUAUAUUAUCAUACAUCUUCUUUGCCAACUCACCAUUUAGGUUGUAAGGCACGCAGAUUAAGGAACAUAUGGUUAUAUUUGUUACCUUAUGCUCUUAAAUUCGUAACGUUUAUUCUAGUCUGUUUUCCAAUUGAACUCUCAUUUAUUUACAGAAAUUAGAUACAUAGGUUCAAAACAGUCAGCACUAAUAAAAACUAUUUUGCUUUUUCUUACAAGUGUCAAAAAUUUUAAGAUUCUGUAUUUCCUCGUUUUUGCUCGCACAUAUCACCAUGUCCUCAUAUCUCUAUAUAAGAACAAAAUUAAUGAACAUCUCCGAACAACCCAAAGAGAAAAUCUAUCAUACCUAAACACACGAGAUAUAUAAAUAUGGAAACUGUACUGGUGAUUAUGGGAGCUGGUUUAGCAACAUCUGUUUGUCUAAACCAACACUCAAUCCCAAACGUGAUCCUCGAGAAAGAAGACAUAUAUACAUCACUUGGGAUAAGAAAUGAGCUUAUGAUCAUCUUAAACUUCACUUAGCUAAAAACAUUUGCGAGCUUCCUUUCAUGAUGCAAGGUCCCAAUGUUCCAAUCUUCAUGCCCAAAGAAAUUUUCAUCAACUAGAUUUACACCUACAAAGUGACAUACGUGUCUAGCAUUUUACGGGCUCAAGAUAAACAUAUUAAUAUUUUACUACAAACUUUUUAUGAAAAUCUAAUUAAUAUACCAAUAAAAAUACAUAAAACGAUUUUAUAUGCACUAGUUUUAGCGAAGAGAUAAAAUUAUAUUAGUAAGAAAAUUAUCAUAAAAUUAUAUAGGUGACUGCGAACAUCUUCAUCAUUUAUAUAUGUUAACUGAAAUAUAUACAGUUUACAUGUCAAGUUAUAAGUUAUAAACUAAUAUAAAAAUGUAAAAAGAAAAUAUUAACCAAUAAAAUAUUUGCUAAAAUAUGGACAAAAGAAAAGAAAAUAUUGGUAAAAAUUCAUCAAAUGUCUAGCCAUACAUCCAUUUUCAUUUCUCUUCUCGUGCGACCUAACUCUCACACUUGUUUAUUUCUUUUAUUUAACAUUAAAAACUAACUAAACUUUUUGAUGGUUUCAAUUUUCAAAUGGAUAAGUUGUAGAACAAGAAUCUGUUUCGACUUUCGUAUAACCGAACAUUAGGAAACGCUUUUCAACACUACCAAUCUGAACUUGCGUGGGCAUACGAAAAACCC
rnacentral:lncRNA from 1 species